rnacentral:rRNA from 1 species
AGACCCGAAACCCGGUGAUCUAGCCAUGGGCAGGUUGAAGGUUGGGUAACACUAACUGGAGGACCGAACCGACUAAUGUUGAAAAAUUAGCGGAUGACCUGUGGCUGGGGGUGAAAGGCCAAUCAAACCGGGAGAUAGCUGGUUCUCCCCGAAAGCUAUUUAGGUAGCGCCUCGUGAAUUCAUCUCCGGGGGUAGAGCACUGUUUCGGCUAGGGGGCCAUCCCGGCUUACCAACCCGAUGCAAACUGCGAAUACCGGAGAAUGUUAUCACGGGAGACACACGGCGGGUGCUAACGUCCGUCGUGAAGAGGGAAACAACCCAGACCGCCAGCUAAGGUCCCAAAGUCAUGGUUAAGUGGGAAACGAUGUGGGAAGGCCCAGACAGCCAGGAUGUUGGCUUAGAAGCAGCCAUCAUUUAAAGAAAGCGUAAUAGCUCACUGGUCGAGUCGGCCUGCGCGGAAGAUGUAACGGGGCUAAACCAUGCACCGAAGCUGCGGCAGCGACACUGUGUGUUGUUGGGUAGGGGAGCGUUCUGUAAGCCUGUGAAGGUGUGUCGUGAGGCAUGCUGGAGGUAUCAGAAGUGCGAAUGCUGACAUAAGUAACGAUAAAGCGGGUGAAAAGCCCGCUCGCCGGAAGACCAAGGGUUCCUGUCCAACGUUAAUCGGGGCAGGGUGAGUCGACCCCUAAGGCGAGGCCGAAAGGCGUAGUCGAUGGGAAACGGGUUAAUAUUCCCGUACUUGGUGUUACUGCGAAGGGGGGACGGAGAAGGCUAUGUUGGCCGGGCGACGGUUGUCCCGGUUUAAGUGUGUAGGUGUGUGUUCCAGGUAAAUCCGGUUCACUUUAACACUGAGGCGUGACGACGAGGCACUACGGUGCUGAAGCAACAAAUGCCCUGCUUCCAGGAAAAGCCUCUAAGCAUCAGGUAACAUCAAAUCGUACCCCAAACCGACACAGGUGGUCAGGUAGAGAAUACCAAGGCGCUUGAGAGAACUCGGGUGAAGGAACUAGGCAAAAUGGUGCCGUAACUUCGGGAGAAGGCACGCUGACACGUAGGUGAAGUGAUUUACUCAUGGAGCUGAAGUCAGUCGAAGAUACCAGCUGGCUGCAACUGUUUAUUAAAAACACAGCACUGUGCAAACACGAAAGUGGACGUAUACGGUGUGACGCCUGCCCGGUGCCGGAAGGUUAAUUGAUGGGGUCAGCGCAAGCGAAGCUCCUGAUCGAAGCCCCGGUAAACGGCGGCCGUAACUAUAACGGUCCUAAGGUAGCGAAAUUCCUUGUCGGGUAAGUUCCGACCUGCACGAAUGGCGUAAUGAUGGCCAGGCUGUCUCCACCCGAGACUCAGUGAAAUUGAACUCGCUGUGAAGAUGCAGUGUACCCGCGGCAAGACGGAAAGACCCCGUGAACCUUUACUAUAGCUUGACACUGAACAUUGAGCCUUGAUGUGUAGGAUAGGUGGGAGGCUUUGAAGUGUGGACGCCAGUCUGCAUGGAGCCGACCUUGAAAUACCACCCUUUAAUGUUUGAUGUUCUAACGUGGACCCGUUACCCGGGUUGCGGACAGUGUCUGGUGGGUAGUUUGACUGGGGCGGUCUCCUCCUAAAGAGUAACGGAGGAGCACGAAGGUUGGCUAAUCCUGGUCGGACAUCAGGAGGUUAGUGCAAUGGCAUAAGCCAGCUUGACUGCGAGCGUGACGGCGCGAGCAGGUGCGAAAGCAGGUCAUAGUGAUCCGGUGGUUCUGAAUGGAAGGGCCAUCGCUCAACGGAUAAAAGGUACUCCGGGGAUAACAGGCUGAUACCGCCCAAGAGUUCAUAUCGACGGCGGUGUUUGGCACCUCGAUGUCGGCUCAUCACAUCCUGGGGCUGAAGUAGGUCCCAAGGGUAUGGCUGUUCGCCAUUUAAAGUGGUACGCGAGCUGGGUUUAGAACGUCGUGAGACAGUUCGGUCCCUAUCUGCCGUGGGCGCUGGAGAACUGAGGGGGGCUGCUCCUAGUACGAGAGGACCGGAGUGGACGCAUCACUGGUGUUCGGGUUGUCAUGCCAAUGGCACUGCCCGGUAGCUAAAUGCGGAAGAGAUAAGUGCUGAAAGCAUCUAAGCACGAAACUUGCCCCGAG